rnacentral:lncRNA from 1 species
AAAAUAAGCCUGUGUAGCAAAGACAUGAAAAAAGGCACACUGGAAGAAAUAUUUAUGUUGUAUUAGCAUAUUCUCUGCUCUAAAUGAGUUUGGACUAAUUACUUAUUAGACCACAGUGGGAUAAGCAGGAGAGAUAAGCUCCUAAUAUCACAUUAGGAAAAAUUAAUUAAACAGAAUAAACAUAAUUUAUUUGAUUCUGCUAUUUCCUAUUUCAAUUGCUUUACUUAGCAAUCUCAGUAAUGUUCUUUAACAAAUUCUUUAUUUAUUUUUUUAAAUAGAAAAAAGAUAGACAAAUGAAAACAAGCUGGAAAGAGAUGAAUUUUAUUCAUCACGGUACCUCAUUUUCCUUGGCAGACUAACAACUGCACUGUCUGCACAGAUUUCUGCUACUUGAGCUAAUAGAGUGCCACUACCAGCCAUGGGUUGUCAUCCUCUGAGUAAAGCACUCCCAGAAGAAGAUUGCUGAUGGUCCCUGGUGAGAAACACAAACUGAGGUUUUGCUUGUUGGCUGGGGUGACAGAAAAACUUUCUUGAGAUAUUCUUGAGAUGUCCUUUGGAGAACUACCAAGACACUGUUAAUAAACAGCUUCCAAAAAGCUGUGUUAGAGACAGCAGGAUGUUCUUGCAGUUUCCAUGUGUCUGUGUGACCAACAGACAAUAUGCUGUCCUGGAAUUCUUCUAGCAGUGAAUUUGCUGUUCAGCGCCAGUACCACAGAGAGAGGCUUAGUUUCCUUUCCCUGCAGCUCUGGUGCCCAUACUGCCUGCCUCUCCAGGGAAUGACUGGACUCCAACAACAGCUUUUCCAGCCUCUGCCAAGAUGGUGA